rnacentral:rRNA from 1 species
GGGCAGCAUAAUGGAUAGCAAUAUCUAUGGUGGCGACCGGCGCACGGGUGCGUAACGCGUAUGCAACCUACCUUUAACAGGGGGAUAACACUGAGAAAUUGGUACUAAUACCCCAUAAUAUCAUAGAAGGCAUCUUUUAUGGUUGAAAAUUCCGAUGGUUAGAGAUGGGCAUGCGUUGUAUUAGCUAGUUGGUGGGGUAACGGCUCACCAAGGCGACGAUACAUAGGGGGACUGAGAGGUUAACCCCCCACACUGGUACUGAGACACGGACCAGACUCCUACGGGAGGCAGCAGUGAGGAAUAUUGGUCAAUGGACGCAAGUCUGAACCAGCCAUGCCGCGUGCAGGAUGACGGCUCUAUGAGUUGUAAACUGCUUUUGUACGAGGGUAAACGCAGAUACGUGUAUCUGUCUGAAAGUAUCGUACGAAUAAGGAUCGGCUAACUCCGUGCCAGCAGCCGCGGUAAUACGGAGGAUUCAAGCGUUAUCCGGAUUUAUUGGGUUUAAAGGGUGCGUAGGCGGUUUGAUAAGUUAGAGGUGAAAUUUCGGGGCUCAACCCUGAACGUGCCUCUAAUACUGUUGAGCUAGAGAGUAGUUGCGGUAGGCGGAAUGUAUGGUGUAGCGGUGAAAUGCUUAGAGAUCAUACAGAACACCGAUUGCGAAGGCAGCUUACCAAACUAUAUCUGACGUUGAGGCACGAA